rnacentral:rRNA from 1 species
AGUGAACGCUGGCGGUAGGCCUAACACAUGCAAGUCGAACGGCAGCACAGUAAGAGCUUGUUCUUACGGGUGGCGAGUGGCGGAUGGGUGAGGAAUACAUCGGAAUCUACUUUUUCGUGGGGGAUAACGUAGGGAAACUUACGCUAAUACCGCAUACGACCUACGGGUGAAAGCAGGGGAUCUUCGGACCUUGCGCGAUUCAAUGAGCCGAUGUCGGAUUAGCUAGUUGGCGGGGUAAAGGCCCACCAAGGCGACGAUCCGUAGCUGGUCUGAGAGGAUGAUCAGCCACACUGGAACUGAGACACGGUCCAGACUCCUACGGGAGGCAGCAGUGGGGAAUAUUGGACAAUGGGCGCAAGCCUGAUCCAGCCAUGCCGCGUGGGUGAAGAAGGCCUUCGGGUUGUAAAGCCCUUUUGUUGGGAAAGAAAAGCAGCAGGUUAAUACCCCGCUGUUCUGACGGUACCCAAAGAAUAAGCACCGGCUAACUUCGUG